GCCUGGCUGGCUCAGUGGGUAGAGCAUCUUAACUCUUGAUCUAAAACUGUAAGUUCGAGCCCUAUGUUGGGUG
rnacentral:tRNA from 1 species